rnacentral:rRNA from 1 species
AUUGAACGCUGGCGGCAGGCCUAACACAUGCAAGUCGAACGAGUGGCGGACGGGUGAGUAAUGUCUGGGAACGUGCCUGGUGGAGGGGGAUAACUACUGGAAACAGUAGCUAAUACCGCAUACAAUUGGGAGUGCCAAUAGGGGAUUAGCUGGUUGGUGGGGUAAUGGCUCACCAAGGCGACGAUCCCUAGCUGGUCUGAGAGGAGGACCAGCCACACUGGGACUGAGACACGGCCCAGACUCCUACGGGAGGCAGCAGUGGGGAAUAUUGCACAAUGGGCGCAACCCUGAUGCAGCCAUCCCGCGUGUAUGAUGAAGGCCUUCGGGUUGUAAAGUACUUUCGGCGGGGAGGCGGUACCCGCAGAAUAAGCACCGGCUAACUCCGUGCCAGCAGCCGCGGUAAUAC